rnacentral:lncRNA from 1 species
AUUGUGGUGAUUUCGAAAUGUCAAACUAUUGAUUGUUGUGAAAUGGAUGCAACUGAGAUGGUGAUGAUCAUGAGGUAAGUGCGAUGAAAUUUUAUCUGAGAAUUGUUACUUUGCCGGCCAGUGAAAUAUCCCCGUAGAUUGACGGCCAAAAUCAACCCGGAAAAUGGAUUUUCACUAGAGAGGUAUAAAUUCUCAAAUUGAAGUCCAUCACAUUUCAGUAAUUAAUUAUAACAUUGAAGAGUGAGGUUAUGUUCUAUGCCUCUCAAACAAAUUUUAUGAUAGAAUUUCUUUAAUUAUUGCUAGUCUUUGGUAUAAUUUUGUGGGUUCAUUUGAAUUCAGUUUUGAAAAAUUUUCUCCUUAAUAUUCCUACCAAUUUCUAUCCUACAAUAAAUUAAAUUGAUAAAAAUUACAUAAUAAAACUCAUAACAAUUCAACUAAAUUUACAACACAUGCACAAAAACUAAAAUAAAGAAAUGGCCAUCAUGCAAAAUAUUUACAAAAUUUACAAGAGAAAAAUCUCAUUUUUGGUUUAAUUAACGAGUAUUUGGUUUAGGAAGUCCUCCUAGACAAAGCUAUUAACAGGAAACACUUCACAACCAAAACUCUCACAACACAAAUUUACACGCAAUCAAUGCUUCUUCUUUUAGGUACUACGACCAUUCAUCUUUAAUGGCUUCAUUCAGCUUUAACACUGCACCUGAUAAAACGAUUGUUUACAAUCAGGACAGUUGCCGAUAAUGAAGGCUAGUAGACGUCCUUCUGUCUCAUCACCACAAUGGGAAUCUUCUUACAAUCACUGCCUCCGCAGCAUUGAGACAAGACGUCGAAGAGGUCAAGCAUCCGAAGAGCAUCGCGUACGAAGACUGGAUGGAAUAGUGGCUCUAGAAGAACUAUUAACAGAGGAACUCUGUCCGUGCUGAGACGAACUUCUCUGGAUUCGAGUUAUGCAACACUCACAUGAUCUCACUUUCGGUGUUUCAACUCCACUGUGACGAAAAUGCUCAUCAUAUCAAUCACCACUUCUGAAUGGGUGUUGUCGCGCAACGUAAUUUGCAAUGAAAUUUGAAAUUAAAAAGAACUAAUUACGAGCUAAGAGUAUCACAGUGCAUAAUUUGAUAACCUAGUAAGUUGAAAAUGCCUAAAAAAUUCGAAAAUCUAGAAAAUUUGAAAAUUCUAAUUAUACAGAUAAUCACACAUAACUCAUUGUAAAUAAAAUCUAUGGUUC